rnacentral:rRNA from 1 species
GACGUAGGGCGCGAGCGUUGUCCGGAUUUAUUGGGCGUAAAGAGCUCGUAGGCGGCUUGUCGCGUCGACCGUGAAAACUUGGGGCUCAACCCCAAGCCUGCGGUCGAUACGGGCAGACUAGAGUUCGGCAGGGGAGACUGGAAUUCCUGGUGUAGCGGUGAAAUGCGCAGAUAUCAGGAGGAACACCGGUGGCGAAGGCGGGUCUCUGGGCCGAUACUGACGCUGAGGAGCGAAAGCGUGGGGAGCGAACAGG